GACGAACGCUGGCGGCGUGCCUAAUACAUGCAAGUUGAGCGCUGAAGGUUGGUACUUGUACCGACUGGAUGAGCAGCGAACGGGUGAGUAACGCGUGGGGAAUCUGCCUUUGAGCGGGGGACAACAUUUGGAAACGAAUGCUAAUACCGCAUAAAAACUUUAAACACAAGUUUUAAGUUUGAAAGAUGCAAUUGCAUCACUCAAAGAUGAUCCCGCGUUGUAUUAGCUAGUUGGUGAGGUAAAGGCUCACCAAGGCGAUGAUACAUAGCCGACCUGAGAGGGUGAGCGGCCACAUUGGGACUGAGACACGGCCCAAACUCCUACGGGAGGCAGCAGUAGGGAAUCUUCGGCAAUGGACGAAAGUCUGACCGAGCAACGCCGCGUGAGUGAAGAAGGUUUUCGGAUCGUAAAACUCUGUUGGUAGAGAAGAACGUUGGCGAGAGUGGAAAGCUCAUCAAGUGACGGUAACUACCCAGAAAGGGACGGCUAACUACGUG
rnacentral:rRNA from 1 species